rnacentral:lncRNA from 1 species
GUCGAUACCUUACCAGCAAGUGUGGAGGAAUGGGCUACCUAUGAUUGUCCUGAUGAAGUUAGAGAUGCUUUUAAACAGGAAGCAAGCUCUUGUGGUAUUAACCAAGAUAACAUUCGGGUACCUACUUACACAUUAUAUUUCAUGGACCUUUUGGCUAAGGAGCUGCAGAAGAUUUCUUGCACCCAUUUGAUUCUUCCCAUCUUUCAGCUUGCUGAGGUUAUUGCUCAUGAAGUUCUGGAAAGUAAAACUCUUUCUGAUCUCUAUCAUCUCCGAAUUGCCCUGAUAUGUUCAGAUAUGAAGCUGAAUCAGGCAUCUUCAUAUCAU